rnacentral:lncRNA from 1 species
AUGACUCCAAGUGCAAAGGAGUGUGCACCACUCGAGGUCCUAGCAGCCAUCUACCGUGGCUGCUGGGCAGAGCCUGGAUCAAUCCCCACAGCCCUAGCAGAAUGCCGAGAACGUAAAGGGCAAGUGAAUACCUGGUCAAGAAUAAAUGGACAGUUACACACAGUACAGAUGUGGAGCAGUGUCCCAGUGUUUGAAGCCUCUGGCUGA